rnacentral:SRP_RNA from 2 species
GCUGGGCAAGGUGGCCUGUGCCUGUGGUCCCAGCUGCUCAGGAGGCUGAGAUGGGAGGAUUGCUUGAGCCCAGGAGUUCAAGGUUGUAGUAAGCAAUGAUUGUGCUACUGCACUCUGGUCUGGGCAACAGAGCAAGACCCUGUCCCCU